UGGGGAAUAUUGCACAAUGGGCGAAAGCCUGAUGCAGCGACGCCGCGUGAGGGAUGACGGCCUUCGGGUUGUAAACCUCUUUCGACAGGGACGAAGCGCAAGUGACGGUACCUGUAGAAGAAGCACCGGCCAACUACGUGCCAGCAGCCGCGGUAAUACGUAGGGUGCGAGCGUUGUCCGGAAUUACUGGGCGUAAAGAGCUUGUAGGCGGUUUGUCGCGUCGUCUGUGAAAACUCACAGCUCAACUGUGAGCUUGCAGGCGAUACGGGCAGACUUGAGUACUGCAGGGGAGACUGGAAUUCCUGGUGUAGCGGUGAAAUGCGCAGAUAUCAGGAGGAACACCGGUGGCGAAGGCGGGUCUCUGGGCAGUAACUGACGCUGAGAAGCGAAAGCGUGGGUAGCGAACAGGAUUAGAUACCCUGGUAGUCCACGCCGUAAACGGUGGGUACUAGGUGUGGGUUUCCUUCCACGGGAUCCGUGCCGUAGCUAACGCAUUAAGUACCUCGCCUGGGGAGUACGGCCGCAAGGCUA
rnacentral:rRNA from 1 species